AAAAGGUGGCUAUGCUACCGCUUUUGGAUGGGCCCGCGGCGCAUUAGCUAGUUGGUAGGGUAAAGGCUUACCAAGGCAAUGAUGCGUAGCCGAACUGAGAGGUUGAUCGGCCACAUUGGGACUGAGACACGGCCCAAACUCCUACGGGAGGCAGCAGUAGGGAAUCUUCCACAAUGGGCGAAAGCCUGAUGGAGCAACGCCGCGUGGGUGAAGAAGGUCUUCGGAUCGUAAAACCCUGUUGUUAGAGAAGAAAGUGCGUGAGAGUAACUGUUCACGUUUCGACGGUAUCUAACCAGAAAGCCACGGCUAACUACGUGCCAGCAGCCGCGGUAAUACGUAGGUGGCAAGCGUUAUCCGGAUUUAUUGGGCGUAAAGGGAACGCAGGCGGUCUUUUAAGUCUGAUGUGAAAGCCUUCGGCUUAACCGGAGUAGUGCAUUGGAAACUGGGAGACUUGAGUGCAGAAGAGGAGAGUGGAACUCCAUGUGUAGCGGUGAAAUGCGUAGAUAUAUGGAAGAACACCAGUGGCGAAAGCGGCUCUCUGGUCUGUAACUGACGCUGAGGUUCGAAAGCGUGGGUAGCAAACAGGAUUAGAUACCCUGGUAGUCCACGCCGU
rnacentral:rRNA from 1 species